CUGAGUUAUCCAACUCCCCAAACCCCUGUGAACAUACCUAUGUUGCUUCGGCGGGCCGUCCCGCGGCGCGCCCACGUGGCGUGACCCGGACCCAGGCGCCCGCCGGGGAACCAAACUCUUGUCUUCCAGUGUCUCCUCUGAGUGGCAUAAGCAAAAAUAAACA
rnacentral:misc_RNA from 1 species